rnacentral:lncRNA from 1 species
AGAGAGUGAACCAAGAUCAUCUUCAAGCCUUGCAUGAGCCAAGAUCCAACCUUAAGCUCAGAUUUUCGUCCCCAAUUUCGUACCAGCUUCAUCAUCUUCAUCAUCUAGGUGAGUCCCUAGUUAGAGACUUGGGAAAAUAUGGGAUUUUUGCAUGUUGGGGUUUAGGGUUUGAGAACAAAUACUUCUAUAAUCCUUAAUGGCAGAUUGGUUCUUCUGGAAUUAGUAACGGGAAUGCAUGCAGGUCACAUUGCUCAGUGAGAAGGAAGAAGAAGAUGAAAACGAUGUCGUAUCGAAGACAAAUGGGACAAAAAUGAACAUGAAAUUUUCUGAAAAUAAACAGUAAAAUCGCCAGUUUCAUCUUCUUUCUCCUUUCUCACUCGUUUAUCUCCACACCGAACCAUGAACAUUGAACCCAAAAUCAAACCCGGUUCACCACCGUGGUCCAUUCCCACGNNNNNNNNNNNNNNNNNNNNNNNNGGUUCAAUGUUCAUGGUUCGGUGUGGAGAUGUUGAUGCUUCUGUUUAUUUUCAAUAGGUUCAUAAACAAUGGCGAGAGCUCUCGUAAUUUUCCAAUUUUUGCAAUCACCAGAAGCAUCAUUACUCAGCAAAAAGAUAACAUCAUUCUCCAAUUUUCCAACUCUUUCAUUCAGUCGGCGAAACUUCGUGUUUGAAGACUCAAGCAAUUCCUCUACUCGUCUCUUCUCAUCCGCCAAUUUACCGUAGAGAAGAAUAAAGAGGGAAAAUGGUUAUAAUAGAGUGAGGAAGAAGAAGAUGAAAACGAUGUCGUAUCGAAGACAAAUGGUUAAAGGACUGUAAAACCGUGUGGUUUAUCCGUUGGACUGUAAAACACCGCGGUUUUACUGUUUAUUUUCAAUAGGUUCAUAAACAAUGGCGAGAGCUCUCGUAAUUUUCCAAUUUUUUCAAUCACCAGAAGCAUCAACACUCAGCAAAAAGAUAACAUCAUUCAUAAUAGAGUGAGGAAGAAGAAGAUGAAA